UACGAAGGGGGCUAGCGUUGCUCGGAAUUACUGGGCGUAAAGCGUGCGUAGACGGUUAUGUAAGUCGGGUGUGAAAGCCCCGGGCUCAACCUGGGAAUGCCAUUCGAGACUGCAUAGCUAGGGUGCGGAAGAGGGAAGCGGAAUUUCCGGUGUAGCGGUGAAAUGCGUAGAUAUCGGAAGGAACACCAGUGGCGAAAGCGGCUUCCUGGUCCAGCACCGACGUUCAGGCACGAAAGCGUGGGGAGCAAACAGG
rnacentral:rRNA from 1 species